rnacentral:rRNA from 1 species
GAGUUUUGAUCAUGGCUCAGGAUGAACGCUAGCUACAGGCUUAACACAUGCAAGUCGAGGGGAAACGACAUCGAAAGCUUGCUUUUGAUGGGCGUCGACCGGCGCACGGGUGAGUAACGCGUAUCCAACCUGCCCACCACUUGGGGAUAACCUUGCGAAAGUAAGACUAAUACCCAAUGACGUCUCUAGAAGACAUCUGAAAGGGAUUAAAGAUUUAUCGGUGAUGGAUGGGGAUGCGUCUGAUUAGCUUGGUUGGCGGGGUAACGGCCCACCAAGGCUACGAUCAGUAGGGUUCUGGAGAGGAACGGUCCCCCACAUUGGAACUGAGACACGGUACCAAACUCCGUACGGGAGGCA